rnacentral:rRNA from 1 species
GACGGAGGAUGCAAGUGUUAUCCGGAAUCACUGGGCGUAAAGCGUCUGUAGGUGGUUCGAAAAGUCCGCUGUUAAAAAUUGAGGCUUAACUUCAAAGAUGCCGUGGAAACUUUCAAACUAGAGUAUGGUAGGGGUAGAGGGAAUUUCCAGUGGAGCGGUGAAAUGCGUAGAUAUUGGAAAGACCACCGAUGGCGAAGGCACUCUACUGGGCCAUUACUGACACUGAGAGACGAAAGCUAGGGGAGCAAAUGGG